rnacentral:tRNA from 1 species
GCUGAUAUGGCUCAGUAGGUAGAGCACAUCCUUGGUAAGGAUGAGGUCCCCAGUUCAAUCCUGGGUAUCAGCA